GCGAAGCCAGUCCCCUCAAGUGGCAACUCCUUUCUCAUUCUGUGUGUUUCCUGCGCGGCCGCUGGUUCGUCAGAACGAUUGGGGCUUUUGUGAUCGAAUCCUUCAUCCUCCUCCGUCCAGUCGCGUCCAUUUUCGAUCGAGAGAGAGAGAGGUAUGCCGAUUAUACGAUACAAGAACAUGAUUGCUUAUCAUUUGCUUUUUUAUGGAACACAUUCAUAAUUUAUGCUCAUUGUAUCGGUCUGUUCCUGCUUUUCAGUCUUUCUUCGCUGCUUGUUCUAAUUAUUCUAUGGAUUUCUGAGAAAGAUAAUCUUUUCAGGUUGCAGUCUUGGUUGUUAAAAAUUCAGGAUUCUAUUUGAUAAGGUAUAUUUUGGACUCCAGCUACGUCACAACCCGUGCCCCUGCUAAGUCAACAUGAGGAGUACUUUCAUGCGUAAUCCGUACCGAGAUACCCCUCGAUACGUCCCAUCCAGAAAAGCUCGGGACGACGUCGCAUGGUACCAUUCCAUGCAUUUCGGGCGGCGACCACGUGAAGGUACCACAUCGCCACUCGGGGAUCGACCGCCAUACCAAAUUUGCGUACAAUCGAUCCUCGUGCAAUAGUAUAAAAGCCCCUGACUGACAUAUGACCAGGGAAAGGAAAGAGGAAGGCUACCACUAACUUAUUCGAUGAGGGGCCACUGUCGGGAACCCCCGACGAGGGCCUCCUGUGCAUGAGCACGACCUCCCCCCCCCCUCGAGAAGCGCGAUCGCCCCGAUCAGGAGAUGCCUUCCCGGAAGACGGAGUCAGUGCCCCGACCGAGAGACGCCAUCCCUCAGACAACACCACUGCAUCCCGACUUCCUGACAUAGUUGGCUUCGGCACUUCUUCCAACCGAUCACGAACUCCCGAUAUCGACUCGUGGACCAAGCCAUGCUGACUUAUCGACAUGACGCAUUUGUUCACUAACAUUUUUGGUGCUAGAAGGAGGGCCGAUGUCGCAGGAGCAUCCCACAAGAGUUCCCCCCGAAGGAGAACUACCAGCUAACCACCCCCCUUUCGGACUCGGUGAUCAGCCCCUCCCCGUCCUUAGGGAUGGGGGUGUUCCGGCUCCAACACCGGAUCGUUACUAGCACAUGUUCAAUGAUCCAGGGCUCUCUCCCCUAGGAUAUGCUGCAGGACCCUCGGUCAUUUUGCCUGAGGCGUUCCUCGACCUAGCCAAGCAAGUACAGACCUCAGUGGGAAUGAUGCAAACGAUCGUCCCGCUCAUCCCAUAGAUGGUGCAGUUAGCAGCUUCCCCGACCGACCCAACACCGCAGAGGCCAAACAGGGAACAAGUUAGGACAAGAGAAGCCUGAGAGCAUAUUGCAACCCUAGGAAAUCUUCCCGAGCAAUGCGCGCUCGCACCUCGCCGAGCCGCUACAUCCCUCCCCGAGCCCGACACUUUAUCAUCAGAGUCUAUGGAUGACUCAUUCAGGCUCUAGCUAUCUAUGGUCAACCGUCGCCUAGACAAGUUCCAGCGCGAAUUUCAGAAGUCACGCGGCGAGACAGGAGAAAGCGGCUCGGGUGGAUCCUUAUUCGCUUAGGAAAUCCAGGACAAGCCUGUGCCGCUCAACUUCAGACUCCCGGUGUUGGAAACAUACGAUGGCGGCUCCGACCCCAUGAAACAUGUCGUCACAUUUCAGGAUCAAAUGGCCCUUAACGGUACCUCCGGUGCCCUGAUGUGUCGAGCAUUCCCGACUACCUUCAAAGGACCGGCACGAGCAUGGUUCAGCCGAUUACGACCAUCCUCGGUCUCCUUCUUUGAUCAUCUCGCAAGGGAUUUUAAGCAAAACUUCCUAGCUAGCGUAUAACCAAGGCCUUCCAUGGCCACGCUGCUCGCGUUAUCCCAACGCGAGGAUGAAUCACUUUCCCAAUUUGUGGCGCACUUUAUCGCUAAAAUCCAGGGGUUCCCGGAUGCUCAUCCCUCUCUGAUCAUGCUAGCAUUUUUUAUGGGUCUGAGACCUUCGAGGUUUUUCUGAUCAUUAAUCGAGAAUCCGCCCGCAACCAUCCCCGAGAUGCUCUAACGCGCCAACCAUUACAUUGUCGCUGAGGCCCUAAUGGUAGGGAGGAGUGAGGAUAGCAAGAUGCAAAGGAUGGAACAAGCCCGAGGAACUACUUUGGCACCGCCAGUUUAACCCCGUAGGAGGCCCGAUCGACCCGAGCAGCCACUCCCGAGGCCCCCGCCUCUACCUCUAAACAUUUCUCGUACCGAGAUCUUUCUCUAGAUCAGGGACAAAGGCCCCUUGCGACAACCCAAUCCCUUGAAGGCUACUCACAAGGAUCGAUCUAAAUAUUGUAGGUUCCACCGGGAUUACGGCCAUGAUAUAAAAGACUACCACGACCUCCGAAAUCAGAUUGAAGAGUUGAUCCGGAGAGGUCACCUCGAGCGCUACCUUAAGGAACUAAGAGAAGCAUCUCCGCAUUUUAGGGGUCCCAUCGAAAAAUAAAUCGACGUCAUCACCGGCGAACCGAUUGCUGGCGGUAGUAGCUCGACGGCGAGGAAGGCCUAUGCUCGCAGCACGGUAGAGAAGCACCCUAGACCCGAGUUUGAGCCUGAAAUCACAUUCGGAACCAAUGAGGUCGAACGCUCCCACCACGACGACGCUGUGGUAAUCUCCAUUCGGAUUGCCAACGCUCAGGUGAAAAGAGUGAUGGUCGACACCAAGAGCUCUGCCGACGUGUUGUACCUCGACGCCUUCAAGAAGAUCGGCCUAACUAAUGAGGACCUCACCCUCAUGGCAUCGGCGCUCAUCGGAUUUACUGGGGAUUCCGUCUCCCUGCUCGGGACCACCAUCCUCCCCGUUACCAUCGGGGAAGAACCGAGAGCCAAGACGAUGAUGACUACCUUCAUGGUAGUCGACCUUCCCUCGGCCUACAACGUCAUCCUCGGCUGCCCGACACUCAACAAACUGAAAGCGAUGGUUUCCACUUACCACCGGGCCAUCAAAAUUUUGACUUUAGUAGGGGUCGGGGUAUCCCGAAGUGAUCCUAGAGAAUCAAGGCAGUGCUACCUUACAUCGGUCACUCUUCCGGAGAAGUCGCGGCCCCAACAAGCCCCGAAACCCCGUAAGGAAGCCAGAACACCGACACACCUGGAGCCACCUGAACAACUCGCCGAGGUACUCUUGAAAAGGGACCGACUCGACAUGACCGUGAAAGUCGGGAUGACACUCCCUGAAGCAAACUAGCUCCAGCUCAUCGAUUUUCUGAAGAGAAAUGCUGAUAUGUUCACAUGGUCCUCAAAAGAUAUGCUGGGAAUUGACCCGGGGGUGACCCAGCACCACCUCAACAUCCAUCCCGAGGCUCGACCGGUGAAACAGAAGCCGAGGAAGUUCACCCCCGACCGACAAAAGGCAAUCAGUGACGAGGUCAAUCACCUUAGAGAGGCCGGAUUUAUAAUCGAGGUGAAAUACCCCCAGUGGUUGCCAAAUGUAGUCCUCGUUAAAAAACACAGUGGAAGCUGGAGGAUGUGUGUUGACUACACCGAUCUCAACCGAGCAUACUCCAAAGAUUGCUAUCCAUUCCCGAUGAUAGAUCAACUGGUAGAUGCCACCGCAGGCUAUGAACUUCUUAUAUUCAUGGAUGCGUUCUCGGGCUAUAACCAGAUCAGGAUGGCACCACAAGACUAAGAGCACACAACCUUCAUUAUCGACAGGGGAGUAUAUUGUUACAAAGUGAUGCCUUUCGGCCUGAAAAAUGCCAGGGCGAUGUACCAAAGAAUGGUCAAUAAACUGUUCAAACAAUUACUCGAGAGGAACAUGGAGGUGUACGUAGAUGAUAUGAUCGUAAAAAGCAAAUCGGCAAGCACACAUCUGGCCAACCUAGAGGAGACAUUCCGAACCCUCAUGUGGUUCAACAUGCGCUUGAAUCAUUCGAAGUGUGUAUUCGGGGUCCGAUCAGGGAAGUUCCUCAGGUUCGUCAUCCACCAGAGAGGAAUAGACACCAACCUGAAAAAGGUUCAAGCCAUAACAGAGAUGUAGCCUUCUUGCUCGAUCAAAGAAGUGCAAUGCCUCGCUGGACCGACAACUUCGCAUGGACCUCAGAAUGCGAGGAAGCCUUCGAAAAGCUGAAGGCAUACCUUGCUCAAUUGCCCUGACUCGCCUCACCCGAGCCGGGCAAGGUCCUCGGCCUAUACCUUGUAGCCUCGGCAUAAGCGGUCAGCUCGGUGUUAACCUGAGAGGCAUCAUCGGCACAGCAACCCAUCUAUUAUGUCAGCCACGUUCUCGUCAGACCCGAGGUAGGAUAUUCCCCAAUCAAGAGGCUGAUCCUCGCAUUGAUGAAGAUGACCUGAAAGCUGUGACCGUACUUCCAAGCCCACACGAUCAAGGUGAUAACCGACCAACCCCUGCAGCAAAUCCUCUCAAAGUUUGAUGCAUCAGGUUGGAUGCUACGGUGGUCAGUCGAGCUCGAUGAGUUCGACAUCCAAUAUGCCCUCAUAACGGCCAUUAAAGCCUAGGUAUUGGCCGACUUCAUCUCCGAACUAACCCCCGAAGAUCAUGUUGUUGGACAGGGACAUAAUGAGUGCACAUGGACCCCAUAUGUGGAUGGGUCGGCGACCACCGAGGGAGCAAGGGCCGAGCUCAUCCUCAGGAGUCCGACCAGAGAAACUCAUGAAUGGGCGCUUCGGUUACGAUUUAGGGCCACCAAUAAUGAGGCCGAAUAUGAGGCAUUGCUCCACGGACUACGUCUCGCCCUGGAAAUGUGUGUGGGCGACCUUGAGGCCUUCAACGACUCUCAGCUAGUGGUAGGACAUGUCAACGGGAGCUUUGAAGCCUGGGACCCAACCAUGGCGCUAUACCUAGCGGAGGUAAGAUGGCUCGCCCGUUGCUUCGACCGCCUCUCGAUUACGAGGAUACCUCAUGCGCAUAAUGCGGAAGCUGAUGCCUUGGCUAGGAUGGCCUCCGCUCGCAACCCGGGAGGAGCCCCAGCAACUGAAUCCCUCACGGCCCCGAUAGUACCGACCCGUGACAUCGCUGGGACUGAGGUCUCAUCGAAUUGGAUGGAGGAAAUCCUCCGCUUCAAGAGGGAUGAAGCAUAACCCGACGACCCGACGAUCGCACGACGAUUGAGGCGAACCCAAGCAUGGUAUUGUGAGAUUGGUGGAAAAUUAUACCAAAGAGCCUUCUCUCAACCCCUCCUACGCUGCCUCGUGUCACCUGAGGCCGAGACAGUUCUCACCGAGCUCCAUGAGGGAAUCUGUAGGGAGCACAUCGGUGGCCGAACAUUGGCUUUCAAGAUCCUCAGACAGGGAUACUAUUGGUCGACCAUGCACCGAGAUACCCAAUCAUACGUGCAGUAGUGCCAACAAUGCCAAAAGCACGCCCGAUUACAACACCAGUCAGCAAUCCCUCUCACCCCGAUAGAUGUAGCUUGACCCUUCACCCAAUGGGGCCUUGACCUCCUCAGGCCCUUUCCUCCAGCCUCAGUAUAGUGACGCUUCCUCAUAGUCAGUGUUGACUACUUCACAAAGUGGGUCAAAGCCAAACCUCUGACGUCCAUCACGGAAAGACAAGUUCAAGGCUUCACAUGGAGGAACAUCAUCACCCGGUUCAGGAUCUCGAAGGCUAUUAUCACCGACAAUGGAACCUAAUUUAACAAUGCCAAGUUCAAAGCCUACUGUUAGUCCUAUGGGAUACAGUUGAAAUUCAGCUCAGUCGCACACCCUCAAACCAAUGGGCAUGCCGAAGUCAUGAACCGAGCAAUUCUGGAAGGCCUCAAAAGGAGGGUGACCGGAGCAUAGGGAUCCUGGGUAGAUAAACUCCCUAGCAUCCUAUGGGCAUUGUGAACGACCCCCAAAACUGCUUCGGGGGAAUCCCCAUUCAGCUUGGCAUUCGGAACCGAUGGGGUACUCCUGCCCAAAAUGGUAUUCCCAACUUGGCGUAUUGACACCUUCGAAGAAGGCAACUCUGAGGAAGGCCCCAGGGUUGGGCUCGACUUACUCGAAGAAAGGAGGGUCGAGACGCACUUACGCACCCUGGUAUACAAAAAGGCCAUAGCCCGACUUUACAACCACAGAUUCCACCCACGACCGAUCAAGGCCAGAGACCUCGUCCUCCAAAAGAUCGAAGUGAGUGACCCAACCCGAGCAAGAGGAAAGCUGGCGCCGAACUGGUAAGGCCCCUACCGGGUCUAUGACUUAGUCCAAGAAGGAACUUACCACCUUGAAACCAUGGAGGGAAAACUUCUACCAAGAACGUGGAACACCGCAAAUCUCAAAAAAUUAUAUCCAUAGACACGUCGGUACAUCAAACUCGUAAACAUGCUUUCCAUAAUUCAAAAGGCACGUCAAUUAUACUUGGUCCAGGUGUUACAAUUCAAAAACCCGAUCGGACCAAGAGACAAAAAGGCAAGAUUUGCAAAUGCCCCUCAGUUCGGGGGACCCUUAAGUUAUCAUCGAAGGGGACCUCGGCCUUCGUAGACUGCGUAGCUUGGAUGUUUCACAAAAGGGUUAGCAGCUCAUCAUCUAAAGCCCGAACCCACCCCCGACUCUCCUUCAAUUGGUAUUGAGAGUCAACCAGCUCGGCCUUUAGUCAUUUGACUUCGGCCUCCAAAUUCGUGGCACGUUGCUCGGCCGUCGCCACGGUCGCUGGACCAGGCCCGCCCUUCAGCUCCUCGAUCUCUCGGCGAAGGCUCGAGUUCAUCUCACCCAUGUGUUCAAUCACCCUACCGACAUCGUAAACAUGGUCGAUUAAGGUCAUGGUAUAGUGCUACCCCUGCAUAAGGAUCAGCGUCAGUGACCAUUUUCAGACGGUAGCCAGAAAAACGCUGAGCUCACCCAAACGAGGGACUUGGCCGCCCGAUCCAUCAAUACCAUGGAGGGUGAACAUUAUAGCUGCUUCGCCAGUGUCGGAUGCAACACCCCUCAUGAGAACUCUUGAGCGCCGACCCAUCGGACCAGAUCCUACUCUCAGCCUUGAGAGUUGGCCAUCUGGUACUGUAGGGAGCCCCCGACUCCUCAUCUGCGAGGUCAGCCAUACCAAGGGCCUGAAAAAGGCUUCCCUUCGAAGCGAGCACAGAUGCAACACAAGUCCUGCAUCAAAUUCGGGCAAACUACGGAUCUCUACAAGGGGCCUUCACCAGGAGAGGCAGCCUGCCCCCUCUCCCAUGCACGCGCUAAGCCCUCGCCCUGGAGGCCGCCACCCAACUCACCCAUCCUUGGGGCUGCCAUCCCGUGGGUCGCCAUGCUCUCCAAAACCUUCCGGAUGUCGACCUUAGCCUUCUUCUUUGGUCGACCCACCUCCGGAUCCCUGGGCGACUUCGACCCACGGGUCGACGUUCCCUUUUUCGAAGGAACCCCGGAGCCAAAUCCUUCACGAUCUCGGGUUGGCUGCGCCACAGCCGCAGUAUGUGGCAUCCUCUUCAGAAUCUGGAGGUUCACCAUCUCUAUGAGACAAAGGCAUGAUUAGUGAGGUGUCAGGAAAAGAAAGAUAGAGAGUGAACACCCGCGCACGAAUCUGAUCGUACCCCUAGUGGCUGGACUUAGCCCCACUUCAACCAACCACUCCUCGGUCAUCCCCCUGAUGGCCCGAGAGGAGGACAGGAUCUCUCUCAGUCGCUCCACAUGCUCGGUCUCUUCAUGCGAAAGAAAAGGGGGAACGUUGUUGAUCGCCCGGGAGGUCCACCCGACGCAAAACUCCCACCCUCGACUGCAGCUCACGAAGAAGUGACAGGCCUUCCACCCCUUGUUGUUGGAGGGUGCCCCACUAAUCCUAAACCCACUUUUGGCUGUUAGGUAAUACCUGCCCCGCCUCUUGCACAAGUGAAAGCAGGCCAAGAAGAGGGUUCGGGUCGAUUCAAUCCCUACCCCUCGACAUUCAUCAAGGAAAAUCACCAUAUUGCACCAGGAAUUCGACACCAUUUGGGAUAGAGAGAUCCCCCACCAGCGAAGGCAUUCUUGGAUGACCGGAUGUAGCGGGAAACGUAGCCCUGCCUCUAGAGCAUCCGUGGUCAGCCCAAAUCCAUUGGGAAAUGUGUCAUGAGGACAUUGACCCGGGCGUGGAGCAUGAAGUUCAUAGUCCUUAGGGAUACUAUAGUGAUCCCGAAUUGGACCUAAUAAGUUCUCAGGCACCACCGAAUUGACCUCGUGCCAUGACCUAAUCACUUGCAGGGCCACAAAGGCCUUCGAAUCGACCGAGUCCGAGCCGCCCAACGAAGAACUAAUCACCUCUACCCUAGAACUACCGGAGACUGAGCCGCUGAUCUCGAAAACCGAUCGACUCGAAGAGGGGGGGAGAAGAAGAUGAAGAUAUCCCGACCUCAAAAAAAUGAGUGGCUAGCCGAGGUGAAAGCAGGGAAAACAACAAUCGAGCAAUGCCAUCACAUUCCACAGUUAGGGGUUUAUAAAGAAGAAACUCGCCACCCAGAAGCUGACGUUUGGGCUCCCCGAGGAAAGAGAUGAUUGCAGCAUUCAAAACCUCCAUAACUCCCGGAUAUCUUCGGAUUCCCCAGUCUCGAAAGUCCCGCCAGAGGCCUGCUCCUGACGGAAAAGAUCGCGACAUUCAAACCCACCAUAACUCCUGGAUUCCCCAGUCUCCUCGGCUAUGCCACUCGUGACAGGAAAUUUCCCACCAGAAGCCUGCUUGCGCCAGUCCAAACCUGAGCCCAAGUUCAGUUGCUCAGCUAACAUGUUCAGUCUUUGCCCGAGUCACGUAGCUUGGCCCCCCAACCAGUAACUCGCCAGUUCAAACCUGAACCCGAGUUCAGUUGCUUGGCCAAUAGGUUCAGUCUUUGCCUGAGUCACUCAGCUCGGCCCCCUGACCAAUGACUCGCUAGUCCAAACCUGGGCCCGAGUUUAGUUGCUUGGCCAAUAGGUUUAGUUUUUGCCCGAGUCGCGUAGCUCGGCCCCCUGACCAAUGACUCGCCAGUCCAAACUUGAGCUUGGGUUUAGUUGCUCGGCCAACAAGUUCAAUUUCUGCCCGAGUCGCACGGCUCGGCCCCCCGACUAGCGACUCGCCAGUCUAAACUUGAGCNNNNNNNNNNNNNNNNNNNNCGAGUUUAGUUGCUCGGCCAACAAGUUCAGUCUUUGCCCGAGUCGUGUAGCUCGACCCCCCGACCAGGGACUCGCUAGUCCAAACCUGAGCCCGAGUUUAAUUGCUUGGCCAAUAGGUUUAAUCUUUGCCCAAGUCGCGCAUCUCGGCCCCUCGACCAGUGACCCGCCAAUCCAAACCUGAGCCUGAGUUCAGUUGCUCGGCCAACAGGUUCAGUCUUUUUUCGAGUCGCGCAGCUCGACCCCCCGACCAGCGACUCGCCAGUCCAAACCUGAGCCCUAGUUUAGUUACUCGGCCAAUAGGUUCAGUUUUUGUCCGAGUCGCGUAGCUCGGCUCCUCGACCAGCGACUAGCCAGUCCAAACCUGAGCCCAAGUUCAAUUACUCGUCCAACAGUUUCAACCCUCGCCCGAGGCGCGAAGCACGGCCCACCGAGCAGCCCCAUGAUAAAACAGCCCGACUACCCCUCACAAGCAAUCGAUCCACACGCGACACUCCUACGAGCCAGGCAUGCCCCUCGCCCUCUUGCAAGGACCUUGUGGCACGCCUUAGGAGGGAGAAGUGAUAAGGUAUAUUUUGGAUUCCAACUAAGUCAUAACCCAUGCCCCUGCCAAGUCAGCACGAGGAGUUCUUCCACACGCUAAGCCAUAAUCUGUACCGAGGCACCCUUCGGUACGUCCCAUCCCGGAAAGCUCGGGACGGCGUCGUAUGGUGCCAUUUUAUGCAUUCCGGACGACGACCGUGCAAAGGUACCACCUCGCCAAUCGAGGAUCGACCACCGCGCCAAAUCUGCAUACAAUCAAUCCUCGCGCAAUGGUAUAAAAGCCCCUGACGGGCAUCUAGCUAGGGAAAGAAAAAAGGGAGGCUACCACCAACUUAUUCGACGAGGGGCCACUGUCGGGAACUCUCGACGAGGGCUUUCUGUGCAGGAGCUCGGCUCCUCCUAAGAAGCGCUGUCGUCCCGAUCAGGAGACACCUUCCCGGAAGACGGAGUCAGUGCCCCGACCGAGAGAUGCCAUCCCUCAGACGGUGCCACCGCAUCCUGACUUCCUAACAUAGUCGGUUUCGGCACUUCUUUCAACCGAUCGCGAACUCCCGACAUCGACCCAUGGACCAAACCGUGUUGACUCAUCGGCGUAUUUGUUUACCAACACUACUUAUUCACAUUAGAAGAAAGAAGUACAAUCAAAACUGUUCUAUAAUUCACUAAAAGAAGUUAAUUGUUCAUCUAUCUCUGCUAGCUACUGGAAGCUUUCGAGUAACACACUCUGCUGGCCUUGGGCUCUGCUAGAAAGUACUUCACGGUCAACUUCUCCACUCCUAGAAUGAGACAUCAAGAGGGCUUCUUUGCCUCCUUGCUGUGGGAACCCAUUGGUGCUGGAGCAAACAAUGGCCAUCGAGCCAUUUCUCUUUGGAAUCAUUACAGAAUAUCUUUGGUGUCUAUUUUGCAGACACUUGAGAAGAAGAGUGACAUCACAAGACAUGUUACGGUGAUUACAAGCGUCAUGCCGUUUAACAUCAAG
rnacentral:lncRNA from 1 species